ACGGAGGGUGCAAGCGUUAUCCGGAAUCACUGGGUUUAAAGGGUGCGUAGGCGGUUUGAUAAGUCAGAGGUGAAAGCUAGCAGCUUAACUGUUAAAUUGCCUUUGAUACUGUCAGACUUGAAUCAAGUUGAGGUAGGCGGAAUGUGACAUGUAGCGGUGAAAUGCAUAGAUAUGUCAUAGAACACCAAUUGCGUAGGCAGCUUGCUGGGCUUGAAUUGACGCUGAGGCACGAAAGCGUGGGGAUCAAACAGGA
rnacentral:rRNA from 1 species